UACAGAGGUGCCGAGCGUUAGGCGGAAUCACUGGGCUUAAAGCGUGUGUAGGCGGAUGCCUAAGUACCUUGUGAAAUCCCACGGCUUAACCGUGGAACUGCUUGGUAUACUGGGUGUCUUGAGCCACUUAGGGGCGACCAGAACAAACGGUGGAGCGGUGAAAUGCGUAGAUAUCGUUUGGAACGCCAAUGGUGAAAACAGGUCGCUGGGAGUGUGCUGACGCUGAGACACGAAAGCCAGGGGAGCGAACGGG
rnacentral:rRNA from 1 species